AAUAGAUACCCAGGUAGUCCACGCCGUAAACGAUGAGUGCUAAGUGUUAGAGGGUUUCCGCCCUUUAGUGCUGCAGCAAACGCAUUAAGCACUCCGCCUGGGGAGUACGGUCGCAAGACUGAAACUCAAAGGAAUUGACGGGGGCCCGCACAAGCGGUGGAGCAUGUGGUUUAAUUCGAAGCAACGCGAAGAACCUUACCAGGUCUUGACAUCCUCUGACAACCCUAGAGAUAGGGCUUCCCCUUCGGGGGCAGAGUGACAGGUGGUGCAUGGUUGUCGUCAGCUCGUGUCGUGAGAUGUUGGGUUAAGUCCCGCAACGAGCGCAACCCUUGAUCUUAGUUGCCAGCAUUCAGUUGGGCACUCUAAGGUGACUGCCGGUGACAAACCGGAGGAAGGUGGGGAUGACGUCAAAUCAUCAUGCCCCUUAUGACCUGGGCUACACACGUGCUACAAUGGGCAGAACAAAGGGCAGCGAAGCCGCGAGGCUAAGCCAAUCCCACAAAUCUGUUCUCAGUUCGGGUCGC
rnacentral:rRNA from 1 species